UACGAAGGGGGCUAGCGUUGCUCGGAAUCACUGGGCGUAAAGGGCGCGUAGGCGGAUCUUUAAGUCGGGGGUGAAAGCCUGUGGUUCAACCACAGAAUUGCCUUCGAUACUGGGGAUCUCGAGACCGGAAGAGGUGAGUGGAACUGCGAGUGUAGAGGUGAAAUUCGUAGAUAUUCGCAAGAACACCAGUGGCGAAGGCGGCUCACUGGUCCAGUUCUGACGCUGAGGCGCGAAAGCGUGGGGAGCAACAGGGAUUAAGAAACCCCGG
rnacentral:rRNA from 1 species